rnacentral:rRNA from 1 species
AUUGAACGCUGGCGGCAUGCCUUACACAUGCAAGUCGAACGGCAGCACGGGUGCUUGCACCUGGUGGCGAGUGGCGAACGGGUGAGUAAUACAUCGGAACAUGUCCUGUAGUGGGGGAUAGCCCGGCGAAAGCCGGAUUAAUACCGCAUACGAUCUACGGAUGAAAGCGGGGGACCUUCGGGCCUCGCGCUAUAGGGUUGGCCGAUGGCUGAUUAGCUAGUUGGUGGGGUAAAGGCCUACCAAGGCGACGAUCAGUAGCUGGUCUGAGAGGACGACCAGCCACACUGGGACUGAGACACGGCCCAGACUCCUACGGGAGGCAGCAGUGGGGAAUUUUGGACAAUGGGCGAAAGCCUGAUCCAGCAAUGCCGCGUGUGUGAAGAAGGCCUUCGGGUUGUAAAGCACUUUUGUCCGCAAAGAAAUCCUUGGCCCUAAUACGGUCGGGGGAUGACGGUACCGGAAGAAUAAGCACCGGCUAACUACGUG